UACGUAGGGGGCUAGCGUUGUCCGGAAUUAUUGGGCGUAAAGCGCGUGUAGGCGGUCCGGUAAGUCUGCUGUGAAAGUCGGGGGCUCAACCCUCGAAUGCCGGUGGAUACUGUCGGACUAGAGUACGGAAGAGGCGAGUGGAAUUCCUGGUGUAGCGGUGAAAUGCGCAGAUAUCAGGAGGAACACCAAUUGCGAAGGCAGCUCGCUGGGACGUUACUGACGCUGAGACGCGAAAGCGUGGGGAGCAAACAGG
rnacentral:rRNA from 1 species